rnacentral:rRNA from 1 species
UACGAAGGGGGCUAGCGUUGCUCGGAAUCACUGGGCGUAAAGGGUGCGUAGGCGGGUCUUUAAGUCAGGGGUGAAAUCCUGGAGCUCAACUCCAGAACUGCCUUUGAUACUGGCGAUCUCGAGUCCGGAAGAGGUGAGUGGAACUCCUAGUGUAGAGGUGGAAUUCGUAGAUAUUAGGAAGAACACCAGUGGCGAAGGCGGCUCACUGGUCCGGAACUGACGCUGAGGUGCGAAAGCGUGGGGAGCAAACAGG